rnacentral:tmRNA from 1 species
GGGGGUGUUCUGGAUUCGACUGAUGUUGGAUUCUUGCACUGCAAGUCGGAGAUGCACUUGGCUUCGUUACAAAUGUGCAAAGCUUUACAUGGCGCUAAAAACCGUGUUAGAGCUCUCGGUUUCAAGAACCGUCUCGCUGCAAAGCGUUUCGGCUUCAAGAGCCGUAAGCUCGCCUUGGCAGCUUAACCUGUCAACCUCUUACCCUUUGACGCAGAUAAGGGGGAUAAGGGGUCAUCUAUCUGCAAAAACAGAAAAGGUUUACCUGUUAAUAAACUGUAGUCCUCUGCGUAGCGGGGGCAAAUAAUUGAAACGGGAAGUUGGAUGUUAAUGUCAUAACUAUAAAAAAAAUUAACUAAACUUGUAGGCGUGCUUGCUUGAAGGCACUCAGGACGCGGGUUCAACUCCCGCCACCUCCACCA